GGGCCCGGUGGGCCGGGAGGUCCGGGCGGGCCGGGGUUCGGGCCCGGUGGGCCUGGCUUCGGGCCGGGGUUCGGGCCCUGGGGGCAUC
rnacentral:tRNA from 1 species